GAAAUCUGUUUGUUUCGCCACAGAAAUUGGCUUCACAAUUUUUUUUUUUUAACAUUUUGCUAGUCCCAGGGAAAUAACAGUAAUUUGUUGAUGCACAACUUAAGAACAACAAAAGAGAGCAGUGUAACGAGACCGGAAAUCACAACACACCUUUUUUCAAUUGCAAGGAAGUCAUCUUGAAGAUGGUUGCCUGGCAACAGUUCAAUGAAGAGCUAAGAUAACUGAAAUAUGGCCCAGUAGCAAAGAGGCAGAGGUGGUGAGCAACAAACCUUGUUUAGCUUUGGCAUUAAACGCACUCUAAGACGCAUCAAGACCUACUUGAGGACCACCAUGACUCAACAGCGCCUGAACCACUGUAUGCUGUUUCAUAUAUGUGCCUGACAGAUAUUGCCAGUAUGUUUGUCAGUGUAAAUGAGAGAAGACACAACUUUUUUGGUUAAAUUUGAUUUUCUUUUAAUAAUUUUGAAAUCUGGCCCCCCCAAUGUCAAACAUCUUCCUACGCCUAUGCUGCAAAGCGGGAGGUCCUGGGGUCGCGUCCGACCUGUGAGAAGCCCCUGCUUGCAGGAACCAAGGUAUAAUAUUGUAACGAUCCGUGUAUUGUGUUUGUGUACUGUAUUCCCUCUUGUUUCUAUUGUCUGUUAAUGCCGCUGUAUUGUGUUCCUCUCCCCCCCGUCUGUAUUACCUGUAGCUGCGGGUUCGCUCUGUCUGGCUGUGCGAGCUGCCCCUGUCAUAGGCUGUUUGUUGUGUGUGCCCAUUGGUCCUGGUGUGCGGCUGGGGACCAAUGGGGUAGCUGUUCGCUCUGGCACCCGAUUAACAUAAAGGGGCGGGGCUCAGCUAUAAAACUGGUCGUUGCACGCUCAUUGGGUCGGUGCUGAGCAAGUGGCUGGAGCAGUGGGCUCUUAAAGAAGUUCAUAAAUAAAAGCCUUGAACUUGAAAA